GAUGAACGCUGGCGGCGUGCCUAAUACAUGCAAGUCGAACGAACAGACGAGGAGCUUGCUCCUCUGACGUUAGCGGCGGACGGGUGAGUAACACGUGGAUAACCUACCUAUAAGACUGGGAUAACUUCGGGAAACCAGAGCUAAUACCGGAUAAUAUAUUGAACCGCAUGGUUCAAUAGUGAAAGACGGUUUUGCUGUCACUUAUAGAUGGAUCCGCGCCGCAUUAGCUAGUUGGUAAGGUAACGGCUUACCAAGGCGACGAUGCGUAGCCGACCUGAGAGGGUGAUCGGCCACACUGGAACUGAGACACGGUCCAGACUCCUACGGGAGGCAGCAGUAGGGAAUCUUCCGCAAUGGGCGAAAGCCUGACGGAGCAACGCCGCGUGAGUGAUGAAGGUCUUCGGAUCGUAAAACUCUGUUAUUAGGGAAGAACAGAUGUGUAAGUAACUAUGCACGUCUUGACGGUACCUAAUCAGAAAGCAACGGCUAACUACGUG
rnacentral:rRNA from 1 species